GAAGAGUCCUGGCUCAAAGUCUCCACUCUAAUUCAUCCCAGAGGUGUUCUUCCACACCAAACUCUUUCAUCCUUGUCUCUAUGGACUUUCUUCACUGGUGCACAGUCAUGUUGGAACAGGAAGAGGCUAUUUGCCUCAGUUUGAGCUUUGCCCUCAUGCUCUUUCAAUAUCUGUGUGGGAAAAAAAAGCUAACUAAUGUUCAAAUCUUCGACAUUGCUGUAGCUGCGUUUUUACCCCAUCUACAGGAGCAGUCAGCUGACUGUGACUCAGUGUUUAAGUGAUGAUGUUUGAAAUUCAGGCUGAUGAAAGUGUUUUAAUUUAGAAUGGCUGUAAUGGAGCUGUGAGCUGGAAUAAAUCCAGUCUGCUGCGUGGAAACAAUCAGCUGCAGUUUGUUCAUCGGCUCUUUUUCUGCAGACAAAGCAUUUAUAGAAUCAGUGGAAAAUUGUAUAUUUAUAGAAUAUUGAUGCAUUUCAUGCAAACACGUUUGAACUGAUUUUAUCUAAAUGAAUGCGUAAAAUCAGCUCCAAACAAAUCAUUAAAGAGGAGCAGUUAUUCACUGUAGUGAGACAGGAAGUCAAAGUUUCCAGUUAAAACAAGUAGAAGAACAAAACAUGGCGCUGAUAAAGUGUAACAUGAGUUUGUCAUGAAGAGGCUUCCUGCUCUGCAGUAAACUGUUCACUUCAGAUUGGAUUAAUGACACGGCUCAGCUAAGAACAACUUCCACUAACACACUGAGUGUUUCUGUGAUCUGCAGUGGAACCAGGUUAAAGUGUCACUACAAUAGAAACUACAAUAGAAACAUAAUUUUAAUGCUGCACUCAGUAACAGGACAGAAGCCUCCAACAAACAUUCCUACAUGUUUCUAAAGUCCAGACUCCAUUUCUGCUUUUGCUUCAUCCCAGUUUCCCCACAAACGCCUCCUUUCCUGCUCAAAGUUUCACUUCCCUGAUGUCAGUGUCAGAUGAUCGUCUCCACCACAAAUCUGCUGCUCCAUAGUUCACAGUAAUGGGAGAACUGCUGAUCAUCUUUGAAUCCUGGAUCAGGAAGUAAAGCCGACUGACUGAAGAUGAUGAUGGAGGAAGAGGAGGACAGAGCAGAGUCUGCAGGAUCCAGCUGUCCGUCUGUGAGGAGUGACCGGUCCAAGGAUAAACAGCCAGACUUCAGUGGUGAACCUGGACCAACGAGUCUGAGAGGUCACACAGAGACCCAGCAGCUAAAGCCUGGAUCAUACUGGCUGCUGUUACUCCAUCAGGACAACACUGAACCACAGUGGUGUGGAUGUAGUGGAUAAAUCCCACCAUACUGAUGCUCAGAGUUAAUCACAGGGAACAAAACCAGAUGUUACCUUCAGAUUGUGACCUUUGGAGUGGACGAUGCAGAUUUCAAUAGACAAUAAAUGUUGUUGAUUUUCAGCUGUGAAAAAGAAUCUAAUUUUCUGAACUUCAGAAUUUAUGAUGCUGGAAAAACAUGGAGACUAUAACACAACAUUUCCACUGUAUUCAUAGAAUGAAUGUAAAACUUUCACACA